GGCGGUGUAGCUCAGUUGGUUAGAGCAGCGGAAUCAUAAUCCGCGAGUCGGGGGUUCAAAUCCCUCCACCGCUACCC
rnacentral:tRNA from 1 species